CAGGCCUAACACAUGCAAGUCGAACGAGAUCCUUCGGGGUCUAGUGGCGCACGGGUGCGUAACGCGUGGGAAUCUGCCCUGGGGUCUGGGAUAACCGUUGGAAACGACGGCUAAUACCGGAUGAUGAUGAAAAUCCAAAGAUUUAUCGCCCUGGGAUGAGCCCGCGUCAGAUUAGCUGGUUGGUGGGGUAAAGGCCUACCAAGGCGACGAUCCGUAGCUGGUCUGAGAGGAUGAUCAGCCACACUGGGACUGAGACACGGCCCAGACUCCUACGGGAGGCAGCAGUGGGGAAUAUUGGACAAUGGGCGCAAGCCUGAUCCAGCAAUGCCGCGUGAGUGAUGAAGGCCUUAGGGUUGUAAAGCUCUUUUACCCGGGAUGAUAAAGACAGUACCGGGAGAAUAAGCCCCGGCUAACUCCGUGCCAGCAGCCGCGGUAAU
rnacentral:rRNA from 1 species